rnacentral:rRNA from 1 species
CGCGUAGGUGGUAGUGCAAGUCUGAUGUGGAAUCUUAGGGCUUAACCCUAAAAUUGCAUUGGAAACUGUAUUACUUGAGUCAGUGAGGGGAGGGUAGAAUUCCUGGUGUAGCGGUGAAAUGCGUAGAUAUCAGGAGGAAGGCCGGUGGCGAAGGCGGCCCUCUGGCGCUGAACUGACACUGAGGCGCGAAAGCGUGGGUAGCAAACAGGAUUAGAUACCCUGGUGGUCCACGCCCUAAACGGUGGGUACUAGGUGUAGGGCUCGUAAGGGUUCUGUGCCGAAGCGAAAGCAUUAAGUACCCCGCCUGGGGAGUACGGCCGCAAGGUUGAA